CUGAAGCCCGCAGCUUGCUGUGGGUGGAUGAGUGGCGAACGGGUGAGUAACACGUGAGUAACCUGCCCUUCACUCUGGGAUAAGCGCUGGAAACGGCGUCUAAUACCGGAUACGACCAGUCCUCGCAUGGGGUGCUGGUGGAAAGCUCCGGCGGUGAAGGAUGGACUCGCGGCCUAUCAGCUUGUUGGUGGGGUAAUGGCCUACCAAGGCGACGACGGGUAGCCGGCCUGAGAGGGCGACCGGCCACACUGGGACUGAGACACGGCCCAGACUCCUACGGGAGGCAGCAGUGGGGAAUAUUGCACAAUGGGCGCAAGCCUGAUGCAGCGACGCCGCGUGAGGGAUGACGGCCUUCGGGUUGUAAACCUCUUUCAGUUGGGACGAAGCCAGCUUGCUGGUGACGGUACCUUCAGAAGAAGCACCGGCUAACUACGUGCCAGCAGCCGCGGUAAUACGUAGGGUGCAAGCGU
rnacentral:rRNA from 1 species